rnacentral:lncRNA from 1 species
ACAGAAAGGGGAACAAGUUCCAAACACUUCUAGAAAUCAGUUCCCAAAAACGCAUUAAAUUGGAGACUACACUUGAACUUUCAGAAAUCAUUUCUCAAAAGCAUGUUAAACUUUAGACAACACUAACAACUUCGCAAGACAAGGCUUUUUAGCUGUAGAUAACCUUCUUCUCCAUAAAUUGAAGUACAUUUACGUAAUUGAACUGGAUUGAAAGUAUAGUUACUGCAAAUGGAAUUUACCCAUUUUUGUCUACUUGUGUAGGCAUCAUCAAAUAGAAGUGGGGACUCGUCUAACUUUCAACUGGUUGUAUUCUGGAAAUCUAAACAUGAAAUAGUGCAAGGAUUUAUUAUGGGCCAUGGCCUACAUUACCAAUGGUUCGUUCAACCAGCAAAUUAUCAAGGUUUUCCAGCGGUUCAGUCAAAUCAACUACCUUUGUUAAAUAAAAUAAAUUAUAUAAAAAGACCAUUACCU